UAGUGUUUGGGUCUCUCUCAUAGUCCUACUCUUGGAUCACACUAACAAAUCCCAGUGACACAUAUCAGCACAGAUUUGUACCUUUGAACAAGGCACAGUCCCCAAAUAUGGCAAAGGAGCCACCCCCAUAGUGUGACCCCGCCAUGGCACUGGGCAACUGGAGCAGGAGAUAACCUUCUCCUCCCUCCAGAGGCCUCCGAGUCCGAGGAUAGUACAGCAGCCAGCUGGACAAAGUCUAAACUGCAGCAGCCUGCAGAGAAGGAAUCAGCCCCUGUGCUCUCUGGGCUCCCCUGAGGCAGCACAAUGCUGACCGUCAGACAGGACUUCAGGAACCUGGAGAACUUGAAAGUGUGCACGGCUAUGGCACAUGCACAUCUCCAGCAUCACACUGCACCUGCAUGGAGCACCCGAGGACAUCUGAGGAAAUUUGGUCCAGAGACUCAAAUCAGGCCACUCCACCAAGCACUGCUCAAGCAGAAUGGAUGUGGAAUUCCCUUCCCAAAGCAACCAGGGAAACCUUGUAAGAAACAGCAGAAAAGGAGUAACUUCAAAAGGUGCUUGAUGGGGAGUUACCCCUGGAAAGACAGAGGCUUUAGGCCUGAAUUUAGAAUCAAAUUGCCCUUGUUCCUAAACACCAGCUUUUCCCCUCUUGCCCAUUUCUUUUGUUCUGCCUGAUUUCAUGAAGACACGAAGCUGAAUUUGCAAACUCACAGCCAUUCCCAUGGCAACAGAUGUGAUGUUAUGAUGUCCUCUCUUGGAGCACACAAAACAAGCAACAGAGCUGGACUAUGGAGGAGUAGCAGCACUUCAUAACCCUAAAGAUGCACUUGUAAAAUCAUUUUUAGCUGAUACCAUACCCAUUCCAUAGACAUCAACUACCACUUUCCCCACAGGCCAUGAUUCUUUACAGAAGCUGAGGAGUUAAAGGGCUGAUCUAAAAAGUCAGUGGAAAGUCUCCUGCUGUGUUUUGGGGAGCAGGAUUGGACAGGAGACCAUGUCCUGUAGGUAAAUAUUGUUGUUCUGGUUUAAAUGGGAUAAAAAAUAACUCAAUGUCAUAUGAUUUAUCUAGAAUAAUGUACUAGAACUCAGAAAGAUCCAUGAUGGAAUUGAUAAAUGACAGGAUAAAAUAAAAUAUAUUAGGAUUUCUUUUUAAAAUAAAUUGUAAUCUAACAUCAGCAUUCUACUGACCCUUCAGGUUUGCAUCAGAAAAUGGAAUUAAUUCUGCUUAGAAACAGUGAGUUUCUAUUUUCUUUAGGAGACCCAAUCCUUUUCUUUAUUGUGGGGUUAAAUUUAAAAUGUGAUUUUAAGUUCAAGGUGAAACACACAGUGAAGUUCCAAAAAAUUAUUGGGGGGAGGGGAAAAAAAGAGGGGAAAAGAAACCGUGCUUCAUUAUAUUAGGAACUUGCUUGACUGUAACAGUAUUUGUAGAAAUAUAAUAUUUAAAGCUAUGGAACUCAGUUCUGCUGCCAUUGAAGCCAAUGGAGAUUUUGUUUUAAUCAUCCCCAUUGUCAGGUUUAUAUUUUAAAAAAUAUUUUAUUAUAAAGAGCUAUAUAUUUUAAAAGUGUCUCUUUGAUAAAUGGCAGCAGCAGAAUGGGAUCUUUGAAUAAGCUCUUUGAAGCCUGCAGUUUUAUGAGUUCAGUGCCUUCAGAAGCUUCUAAAGUAGUUAUAGACAAAUGGAGACAGCCAAGGCUUUGCACGCCUACUUCAAACAUGAGUGAGUGACUAACAUGAAAUUGUAGUGGCCAUUAAAACUUCAAAGGAGAAGUGUGACCUGAAUAUUACUUGUCAUCGUACAGGAUUUCUUACUGGAAGAUCUGAUCAAGUUUUUAUAAUUAUAGGAUCUCCUCCAAACGCCAAGAUCAUGACUUAGUUACAUUAUUCUGCCUCAAAUAAAAUUUUAUUCCUGAGAUUUCUUUUGCAAUACCAGUGGCAGCGAACACUGGCUGGAGAGUCGCAUGGUGCUGGCUCCCCCUCCUUGCUUCCAGCUCGGUCUUGUCUCUGUCUUGCUGAAGCUGCAGCCUCACAAUCUCUUCUACCUCUUCCUACCACUCCUGUUGCUUUGCCCAGAGAUCCUUUCCUUCUGCUGCAGGCCAUAAAACCUCUCUUCUUACAACUUCCCCUUCAUAACUCACAGUGUUCCUUGGGCUACGACCAAACUUCUCACCAUCCUACAGACACAAUCACACGAGUACUUAUGAUAAUGAAGAAGAUUAAGAAGUCACUGUCACCAGUUCCCCUGUUGGCUAUCUCCCUUCCAACUCAGUAUAGUCUAUGAUUAUAUUAUUCCUCCCAUCAGAAAUGUGGUAACUUUGUGUGAUUUGAUAACCUUUUGAAUAAAUCAAGUGAUCUACUAAUCUUGCAUAUAUUUAUCUUUCCUUAGACUAUAAAGUCUUCAUAUAAAAUGAUUUCUAUAAUUAUAUGUGUAUGCACACAGUGAAAUGUAGUGGUGUUAACAUCUCAACAAUUAUUCUUCUUUCUCUGGAAAACAAUGAGAAACAACUGGAGACUUUGGAUGAUUGAACUUGAUUUAUGGAGAAGCAAGAUAAUGUGGCUUUUUACUAUUAUUUGCUUUAAUUGUAACUUUUUAUGGAUCCUAUGUUUAUGGAAAAAAAUAUUUCUUGUAUUUUAACGUCUCUUUAGCUUUUCAGCCUCUGUAGGCUGAAGUAGGACAAUUAUUUGCAUGCAUACAGUUGGAUGAUUGAUAAGCAAAACUUAGGGUUAGUUUGGGGCUGUGUUUGGGGUUUGUGCUGGAAACAGUGCUGGUAAUACAGGGAUAUUUUAGCUUUGUACAGAGCCAAGGCCCUUCCUGCUCCUCACCUCAUCCCAACAGCCAGGGGCUGGGGGGGCAGAAGAGAUUGGGAGGAGACAAAGCUGGGACAGCUGAUCCCAGCUGAGCCAAGGGGUACCCCAGCCCGUGUGGCAUCAUGCCCAUCACAGAAAGCUGGGGAGAGGAGAAGGAU